rnacentral:rRNA from 1 species
AGAGUUUGAUCAUGGCUCAGGACGAACGCUGGCGGCGUGCUUAAUACAUGCAAGUCGAACGGGGUCCAUCCGGUGGUAACACCGGGGAAGACCUAGUGGCGAACGGGUGAGUAACACGUGAGCAACCUGCCCCGAAGACCGGGAUAAGCCGGGGAAACCUGGUCUAAUACCGGAUACCCCCACCGGGCCGCAUGACCUGGUGAGGAAAUGUUUUUCGCUUCGGGAGGGGCUCGCGGGCUAUCAGCUUGUUGGUGGGGUAACGGCUCACCAAGGCUACGACGGCUAGCUGGUCUGAGAGGACGACCAGCCACACUGGGACUGAGACACGGCCCAGACUCCUACGGGAGGCAGCAGUAGGGAAUCUUGCGCAAUGGGCGAAAGCCUGACGCAGCAACGCCGCGUGGGGGAUGAAGGCUCUCGGGUUGUAAACCCCUUUCAGCAGGGACGAAAUUGACGGUACCCGCAGAAGAAGCCCCGGCCAACUACGUGCCAGCAGCCGCGGUAAUAC